CCUACGGGAGGCAGCAGUGGGGAAUCUUGCGCAAUGGGCGAAAGCCUGACGCAGCAACGCCGCGUGCGGGAAGAAGGCUUUCGGGCUGUAAACCGCUUUCAGUAGGAACGAAAAUGACGGUACCUACAGAAGAAGGAGCGGCCAACUAUGUGCCAGCAGCCGCGGUGACACAUAGGCUCCAAGCGUUGUCCGGAUUUAUUGGGCGUAAAGAGCUCGUAGGCGGUUGAGUAAGUCGGGUGUGAAAACUUUGGGCUUAACCCAAAGAUGCCACUCGAUACUGUUCGACUUGAGUUCGGUAGGGGAGCGGGGAAUUCCUUGUGUAGCGGUGAAAUGCGCAGAUAUAAGGAGGAACACCGGUGGCGAAGGCGCCGCUCUGGGCCGAUACCGACGCUGAGGAGCGAAAGCGUGGGGAGCAAACAGGAUUAGAUACCCUGGUAGUCCACGCGGUAAACGGUGGUCACUAGGUGUGGGGUUUACUAUCAUAGAGAUCGCGCCGUCGCUACGACAUAAGUAGACCGCCGUCGGGUAGGUACGGUCGCAGACGUAAACUACAAUAGAGUAGACGGCGUGUAGACGUUGCGACGGACGACGACGAGGGAGGUUAGG
rnacentral:rRNA from 1 species